AUUGAACGCUGGCGGCAGGCCUAACACAUGCAAGUCGAGCGGAGCGGCGGACGGGUGAGUAAUGCCUAGGAAUCUGCCUGGUAGUGGGGGAUAACGUCCGGAAACGGGCGCUAAUACCGCAUACUAUCAGAUGAGCCUAGUGCGGAUUAGCUAGUUGGUGGGGUAAAGGCCUACCAGGGCGACGAUCCGUAACUGGUCUGUGAGUAUGCUCGAUAACACUGGAACGGGGACGCGGUACAGACUCUUACGGUGAGCAGCAGUGGGGACUAUUGGACAAUGGGCGAAAGCCUAGUCCAUCCAUGCCGCGUGUGGGCAGAAGGUCUUCGGAUUGUAAAGCACUUUAAGUUGGGAGGCGGUACCAACAUAAUAAGCACCGACUAACUUCGUACCAGCAGCCGCGGUAAUUC
rnacentral:rRNA from 1 species